rnacentral:ncRNA from 1 species
UUAAAGACGCUGAUAAGGAAGAGUAAAUGACAAACUACUCUAAGAGAGAAAAAUCCAUUGGGUGAGAGAUUUUUUGAGUAAGGGUUAUUGAAAACCACCUUUGAGUCGAAUACUGAAAUUAUAGUAAGUAUAUCCGCUGCCUGCGUUAAAGGUGUAGAGAUAUCAGUAAAGAUAAAAUAUUAUAGCUUUAGUAGUUUUUAUUAAAGUAUAAUUUAGAUAAUUUGAUUACUGUUAAAGUUGGGUGGAACCACGAAUAGCACUCGUCCCAUGU